CGGCUCUCGGCCUGCGCUCGCGGAAACCGGAAGCGGCGGCUGUCAGCGGUGCCGGUUGGGGGCGGAGAGGUGGUGGUGGGCGCCCUGGGGUGUGUGAGCCCCGUGAUGGAGCCGGGCCCGACAGCCGCGCGGCGGAGGUGUUCGUUGCCGCCGUGGCUGCCGCUGGGGCUGCUGCUGUGGUCGGGGCUGGCCCUGGGCGCGCUCCCCUUCGGCAGCAGUCCGCACCGGGUCUUCCACGACCUCCUGUCGGAGCAGCAGUUGUUGGAGGUGGAGGACUUGUCCCUGUCCCUGCUGCAGGGUGGAAGGCUGGGGCCUCUGUCGCUGCCCCCGGACCUGCCGGAUCUGGAUCCCGAGUGCCGGGAGCUCCUGCUGGACUUUGCCAACAGCAGCGCAGAGCUGACAGGGUGUCUGGUGCGCAGCGCCCGGCCCGUGCGCCUCUGUCAGACCUGCUACCCCCUCUUCCAACUGGUCGUCAACAAGAUGGACAACAUCAGCCGAGCCGUGGGGAAUACUUCAGAGAGUCAGAGUUGUGCCAGAAGUCUCUUAAUGGCAGAUAGAAUGCAAAUAGUUGUGAUUCUCUCAGAGUUUUUUAAUACCACAUGGCAGGAGGCAAAUUGUGCAAAUUGUUUAACGAACAACAGUGAAGAAUUAUCAAACAGCACAGUAUAUUUCCUUAAUCUGUUUAAUCACACCCUGACCUGCUUUGAGCAUAACCUUCAGGGGAAUGCACAUAGUCUUUUACAGACAAAAAAUUAUUCAGAAGUGUGCAAAAACUGUCGUGAAGCAUACAAAACUCUGAGUAGUCUGUACAGUGAAAUGCAAAAAAUGAAUGAACUUGAGAAUAAGGCUGAACCUGGAACACAUUUAUGCAUUGAUGUGGAAGAUGCAAUGAACAUCACCCGAAAACUUUGGAGUCGAACUUUCAACUGUUCAGUCCCUUGCAGUGACACAGUGCCUGUAAUUGCUGUUUCUGUGUUCAUUCUCUUUCUACCUGUUGUCUUCUACCUUAGUAGCUUUCUUCACUCAGAGCAAAAGAAACGCAAACUCAUUCUGCCCAAACGUCUCAAGUCCAGUACCAGUUUUGCAAACAUUCAAGAAAAUUCAAACUGAGACCUACAAAAUGGAGAGUUGACAUAUCACAUGAAUGAGUGGUGGAAGACACAACUUGAUUUCAGAAAGAAGAUAAACUGUGAUUUGAUAAGUCAAGUUCUUAAGAAAUACAAGGACUUCAGAUCCAUUUUUAAAUAAGAAUUUUCCAUUUUUCUUUCCUUUUCCACUUCUUUCUAACAGAUUUGGAUAUUUUUAAUUUCCAGGUGUAGCAAUGUUAUCUAUUUUAAUGUGUAUUUGUCACAAUAACAGAAGAUGCAAGAACAAUCAUUAUUUUAUUUUAUAGGCAUUUUAUCACUAUUCUAGACUUCUGGUAUUAAUAAGAAUAAUAUAAGUAUCUCAAGUAGAAACGUUUUUGAAAACUAACAUUUAAAAAUUAAUUGGUUACAGCAAGUACUUUGAAAAAGAAAUGUACUUGUCAGGAAGUAGCACGCCCAAAGAUUAAUUACUCCCCAUUGCAGUAUUAUUAUUAUAUAUAUAGUUAAUAUGUUGUACAUCACAAUAAUAUAUAAUUCAGUCUCUAGUUUCCCGAGUCAUUUUUGAAACCACUGAUUCCAAACCUCCCUAACAAUUUUUAGAAGUAGUAAGCCACAUUACAUUUAUCUUUGUAAAAAGAUUUAUGGUAGCUGGUUUCUUACUUGACUUUUAUAAAUAGUAUUUUACAUCUUAUUUUUUGCCUUUAUUUCAUAACUAAUUUAAAAAUCACUGGAUUGCUUUAUUAUAUUCAGGGCAAUAUGGAUUAUUUUUAUACCAAGGAUUUGCAUCGUGAAUUACAUUAAGUUAUUUGGCAAUUUAUAAUUUAUUACUACUUUAAAUCAAAUGUAGCAUUAUCACACUGUAUUUAAAUUGUCAUUUUUUAAAGGAAUAUUUUUCUCUUGAGAUAUGUAGAGGAUUUGGGAGCAGAGAGAAAGGAGGGGUAAAACCAGCUUAAGGUUCAGCGAGCAGACAGGGACCUGAGAGGAUGCUGACUGUAAGACUGUUGGACAGUGGUGUGUAUUGAGGGCAUGAAUUGGAAUGAUAGUCUCAUACAGAAAGCAGUGAGAUUAAGAUGAUCCUUAUUUUUUCUAAAUUUUUCAAUCAGAUGAAAGUGAUACGAUUGAAAUGAAAUCACGUAUUUCAUGCUCAGAAAUUCUAUUUUGGUAUGUUUGUAUUAGCCUUUAAAAAAAAACACUUCAUUUCAGAAUUGUUCACAAUUUUAUUUCUUAGGUUUUUAGAGUUCAGGAUUUCAUUUAUUAAUUUCUUCUUGCUUUUUUGGUGGAAAUAGGCUUUGUUGUAAACAUUAAGAAUGUAACAUCUCCUCUAUAUAGAAACAAGAGUUUUGUUAAAUAAUAAGAGAAUUUGAAUCCCUUCCUAUACUAUAAAAUGCUCUAUAGGGAGACGAAGUGUUUCUUUUUUCUUUUAUGUUUACCGUAUAUGUGGAGCGAAAGAUAAGGCUCUUGGAUGUGUAACAUACUCAAAAGCUGUUAUACUUUCUCUGAUCUGCUGUGAUCCACUGAAAAUGUGCUGGGGUUUGUUCUGCUGUCACUGUUCAUGCUGCUGGAACUUAGCACUGUCUUGAUUUGAAGCAUAUGAUUGAGAGCCAUUGGAAGCAACCUUCAUUAAUGCAGAUAAGUACCUCUAUUUUCUGAACUAGAAGAAACCUUAGAGGCCAUCUGAUCAUAGAGUCCCAGAACUGGAUGGAUCCCUAGAGACUACCUAAUCUGACUUUCUGUCCACUGCAUGGAUUCCUCUAAAAAGUGUGUCACUUAAUUCCCUACCUUAUUAACUAAAGAAGCAGAACAGCAUAGAGCUCUUUAUGUAUAACAGGCAUUCCUUGAUAAUCAACUCUAAAAUGGAGACUUGAGAUGCUUAAAUAUUGUACUACUGUGCUUAUUUUAUAAAGAUUUCAUAAAAUGAUAGUAUUGGUUAUUUUAAAAGGGCUUUGGCUUAUGCUGAAUUAUACAUGUGCACCAAAAUAUUAUAACUCUACUAAAUUUCCUUGUUCUAAACUAUUAUAUUAGCUAUAAUAAAUAUUAGUCAUACAUGUAA